AAAUGCCCUAGCUGCAUUUGUCCCGAAAAGCUGAUUUGGGAGCCGGUGGCUUGCCUUCUUGUUGCAUUUACUCCAAGAAGCUGUUCGAUUGAGCCCGUGAAUUGUGAUUCUUCACCAAUAUUUUCUACUUGCCUUUUUUGCUGAGAUUCAUUUUCAAUCCAAAGACUGCGGUAUGUUGUUCCCGUGUUUAAUAGCCGGAAUGGCUGAAGUCCUGGAGGAGAACGUUGUUCUAUAAGGUGAUCCUCCUCCUAGUACCACCUCCAUUUUUCAAGGCUGGAGAUAUGCUUUUACUUCUUUUCCCUAUUCUCUUGUGGUAUCCGUUUCCCCCGAAUUUUUCCUUCCAUUCUGCUGUCUGCUUUGAGCGUUCGUGUGCAUUUUAUUGUUUGAGUUUUACGGUUCUUCGCUGUGGGGUUUCUAUAGGCUUGAAAAUUUCGCCUUUCCCCACAUAGAAUUAGUGAAGGUGAUGUUUACCCAUAGUAUGUCGUUCAUGUGUAACACAGCCUUGUCUGUAAGUUAUUGAUUGCAGAAUCAAAUUGCCAACGGUGAAGUUGGUGCUUUCGUUUGUUGGCAGUCAUACUAAUAAGGUUACUUUUGUUUGAAGUCUAAUGAGAGAAUGCAUUACUUUGCAGUUGGGAUA